rnacentral:sRNA from 1 species
CAAACCCUCAAAAGUGACCCAAGGCUUCCC